GGUUGACUACCCUACGCCACUUCCCGACGGGGACGGUGGAGAGUUGCGAGUUAGAGUCUCGGCAACCAGUCGGGUUAGAGGCCCGAGGACUUAGGGGCACCUCGAAGUAUUUAUUGUGUGUAAAGGUUCAUCUGGGUUAGAGUCCCGGGGAGUUUUAGAACUCCCCAAAUUCUGUAUCUGGGUUAGAGUCCCGGGGAGUUUUAGAACUCCCCAAAUUCUGUAUCUGGGUUAGAGUCCCGGGGAGUUUUGGAACUCCCCAAAUUCUGUAUCUGGGUUAGAGUCCCGGGGAGGUUUAGAACUCCCCAAAUUCUGUAUCUGGGUUAGAGUCCCGGGGAGGUUUAGAACUCCCCAAAUUCUGUAUCUGGGUUAGAGUCCCGGGGAGGUUUAGAACUCCCCAAAUUCUGUAUUGGGUUAGAGUCCCGGGGAGUUUUAGAACUCCCCAAAUUCUGUAUCUGGGUUAGAGUCCCGGGGAGUUUUAUAACUCCCCAAAUUCUGUAUUGGGUUAGAGUCCCGGGGAGUUUUAUAACUCCCCAAAUUCUGUAUUGGGUUAGAGUCCCGGGGAGUUUUAGAACUCCCCAAAUUCUGUAUCUGGGUUAGAGUCCCGGGGAGGUUUAGAACUCCCCAAAUUCUGUAUCUGGGUUGGAGUCCCGGGGAGUUUUAGAGCUCCCCAAAUUCUGUAUAAGAGAACUGGGUUCAAGUCCCAAAAAGUGUUGGGUCAGGUACCCGUUAAUCAUUUGUUAAUUAUUCUGAGUCCCGGUAACGUAAGUCAGGUUGAAAUGGACGGGGAGUGUGAGAGAAGUUGAUGACGAUGGGCGGUGUCCAGGCACG
ensembl:lncRNA